AAGAUCCCCUGGAGAAGGGAAUGGAUACCCACUCCAGUGUUCUGGCCUGGAGAAUUCCAUGGACUGCAUUGUCCAUGGGGUGCAAACAGUUGGACACAACUGAGCGACUUUCACUAUUAACACCCUAAUCUUGUCAACAACCCUACUGUUUUGAAACUCUGAAGAAGAAAGAAGACAGCAAGACUAUUUCUGCUGAUCUUUAUCACAUAUCCUCCCCUGACUAUAUAAACUCUCCCUGCUCCCUGCUCACCAGGCACAGUUCUUGAGGUACUAGGCUACUGUAUCCCCACUUUGUCUGGAAAAGUUAUAAAGCUACUGUUUCUUCUCCUCCAUAACUCUUGUCUCCACGUUUCAGUUUGGCCUUAGGGCCCCGAGAGCCAAGAUUUUGGCAUCAAUAUAACCUCUGGGUUCUUGUUCAAUUUAAGAGCAACCCAGACCUCUGACUUGACUUAAUGAUUUACAGCAACAUUCCUUCAACACGUACUGAUGUCUCUAGGAUGUGACAAGACCAUACAUAACACAGCCACAUAUAGACAUGCAGGACCCUUCAGUAUCAUUCAGAGGUAUAUAUGCCAAGGUUCUUGGGCCUUUGUUAUUGUCUUAUUAUUAUUAGUUUAAUAUUCCUAAUGUUCCAUCUUCAACUAUAGCAUGUGUAUUUAUCAUUUUUGACUCUUGCCUGUUGUUACAGUUUAUGGUGACAGCGUUGAAGCUUACUCCAGACCCUCUAAUUGUGGAAAAUAGCAAAGGUUAAAGAUUUCAAGUUCCAGGAAACGGCUUACUGUCAAGACCCCAUUAUCACUGAUUUAAGACUCCCACUUGGUCCCUUGUUUACCUGGGGAAAAGCCAGACACAGACUAUCCAAAAUUCCAUUCUUUGGCCUGUCAGUGAUUACCACUCCGCUGGCCCCGCCCACCGCGCCCCGAGGCCCCGCCUUCCCACCCGAGGUCCCCACGCAAGCCCCGCCCACCGCGCCCCAGGUCCCCACGCAGGCCCGAUUCUCUCCACGACCCGCCCCCAUACAGCCUCGCCCCGCCUAGGCCCCGCCCCCCAGGCCGCUCGCCCUUUUCUCUCCUGGUGCGCGCAGUUUCUCACACACCCGGAAGCUGAGAGCUGAGAGAGGUCUCGCUGCGCAGCGAUAGACCUCUGAAGACUCAUGUUGCCUGAGGAAGCCCAGAAGAGGAGGAAGGUGAAAGGAGGAAGAGUCCAGAAUGGCUCUUUCUCAGCAGAUGACCGUCGAGGACGUGGCCAUCGAAUUCACUCCUGAGGAGUGGGAAUGCCUGGCCCCUGCGCAGAGGACUUUGUACUGGGACGUGAUGCUGGAGACCUACAGGAACCUACUCUCUGUGGCUUGCAGAAUCUUAAUGCCCUGAGUAUGGAUUGAACCUGAAACUCCUGAAAUGGAAGUGCGAGGUCUUAACCAUGGGACUGCCAGGGAAGUCCCCAACUUUACUAACCUUGGUUCAUUGUUUAUUGUGGAAUUAUCUAAUAAACUUUGGUUUUUGUUAAUAACUACAUACCUAAAAUUUACUGCGGAUAAAGUCAUUUUUUUUAGAAAAAUUAUUUAUUUGGGUGUUCUGGGUCUUUGUUGCUGCCUGGUCUUUUCUCUAGUUGCCAGCAGUGGGGGCUGUUCUCUAGUCGUGGUGCAUGGGAUUCUGGUGGUGUCUUGUUGCAGAGCAUGGGCUGUAUGAUGCUUGGGCUUCGGUAGUUUCAGCACGUGGGCCUAGUAGUUUGGGCUCUUGGGCGUUACAGCACAGGCUCAGUAGUUGUGUCACUUGGUCUUAGUUGCCCCGAGGCAUGUGGCAUUAUCCUGGAGCAGAACCCAUGUCUUCCGCAUUUGCGGGUGGAUUCUUUAGCAUUGCACCAGGAGAGAUGCCCUCAUAUUAUUUCUGAAUACAGGUAUUUUAUAGAGAUAGGACUCUAAGUAUUCUAUAUAUGUUUUUUAUAUGUCUACCACUUUUUUUUAAACUAAUAUAGUAUUAGAGUUGAGACGUCCCUGUUGGUACAGUGGAUAAGAACGUGCCUGCCAAUGCAGGGGAUAUGGGUUUGAUCUCCCUGGUCCAAGAAGAUUCCGCAUGCCCGGGAGGAACUAAGCCCAUCCACCACAACUACUGAGCCCAUGCUCAAGAGCCUGUGAGCCAAAACUGCAGACCCCAUGUGUUGCAACUACAGAAGCCUUGUGCCUGCAGUUCACCUACAACCUGUUCUCUGUAACAAAAGAUGCCAUUGCAGUGAGAAGCCCACUCACCAAAACUACAGAGUAUCUCCCGCUCAGUGCAACUAGAAAAAGCCACACAAAGUAACAAAGACCAGCACAACCUAAAUAAAUAAACAAGCUUUAAAAAAAAUGUAAUAUUGACAAACUUAAGUACAGUUGAUUCAUUUUCAUGGCCCCAGAGAUGCUGAAAUACAUAUGACUAAAAGUGACAAUGAGAAAAUGAUUUAAAAAUGUGUCAAGAGGCAACUCUUCAUUUCAGUCAAUUGUGUAUUUACAUGUGCAUGCAUGUGUGCAUGGAUAUGCAACUCCAUGGUUUUAUUACAAAACAUCAUCUCAUAAAUAAGCUUUGUACUUUUUAACAGUUGAAAUUAUAUCUUAAAUAUAUUAUGUAGCCUUAAAUUUUUUCUACCCCAGCACAGGAAUGAUUUAAAUAGUAAUAAGAUUACUGAUAUUGUGUUGGGUGGAGGGGUUGAGGAGUGACCCUAUACAAUGACCUUUUAUGGCCUUCCAUUGCUCUUCAAAUUCCUUGAUGUUAUUUGAGGUUUCUCAGGGAACUCUGAUUGAUGGACUUUUAUGCUCUGUUACUUAACUGUUUGAUUCCUUAGGUUCAAAGGAAUUUGACUUGACUUUACUCCCUCCUCUUUUAGUAUAAAAGGGGACUGAGUUCUAACUCGGAUAAGAUGGUUUUGGGGGUACAGUCCACCAUAUUUUCGGUUUGCUGACUUUCUGAAUAAAGUCGUUAUUCCUGCCCCAGCAACUUGUCUCUCAAUUAUUGGCCUGUUGUGUGGAGAGCAGUAGAAGCUUAGAAUGUGAACUAAAGGAACAAUGCGGUUUUCAUCAAUAUUUAAAGAUGUAUUGCUCUUUUUGGCCACAUGAUGCAAAGAGCGGACUUAAUGGAAAAGACCGUGAUACUGGGAAAGACUGUGGGCAGGAGAAGAGGGCGACAGAGGAUGAGAUGGUUGGAUGGCAUUACCCACUUAAUGAACACAAGUUUGAGAAAACCCUGGGAGAUAGUGAAGGACAGGGAAGCCUGGUGUGCUGCAGUUCAUGGAGUUGCAAAGAGUCAGAUUUGACUUAGCAACUGAUCAAUGAAAAUUGCUCUUUUUAAAGCAAUGGUUAGUAAACUUUGUCAGUUUCAAAAUAAAAACAAAAAAAGGUACUGACGGAAGUUCCCAUCACAUACCUUAGUCCUCCAGUAUCAGACUGUAGGUUUUAACCUUGUGUUUCUGGAACUGAGCCAUGUGGAGUUUGGCCUUCCAGCUGAAUGAAGAACGAAGAAGAAAAGUUGUUAUACGGGAUGUCACUGUAAAAUGGCACGUUUUCCCCAGGGAUAGUUUUGUAUUUCUUAGUUUGCAGUACAGAGAGAAAUUCAGAAAAAUUUCUUGUUUUCUUAAGAUGGUUCAAUUAUUGUAAUGGCAGGAAAUGUUCUGCAUCCCAUUACCGCCCUAUAGGAACUAUUUGGAGACUUAGGUUCCCAACCCCUGAAUUGCCAGAAGCAGCACAGGCAAGAACCUGCUGACAAAAACAUUUAUUUAUUUAUUUAUUGCACUUGAAAAUAUGUGGCUUAUUUUUAAAUAACCCACAUAUUUUUUGGUAUUGAUUUCUCACAUAGUUUCACAGUAAUAAGAGAAUAGGCCCUGUAUGAUUUCAAUACUCUUUAUUUAGGCCAUGAAACUUUUGCACCUUGUUUUACGUCAUGUUGCAGUGUCUCCUGGUUAAUACUCUAUGGCAACUUGAAUAAAAUUUGUAUCCUGCUCUUGUGUGAAAAUUGUAUAAGUCUUAAUUAUGUUGAAUUGGUUCACAAUUCUUUUCAGGUCGAGUAUAUCCUACUUUCCUGUCCAUUCUAUUAAUUUUUGAGAGUUUAAUACUGAAAUUCCAACUAAAAAUCUUAAUUUGUCUACUUAAAAAUUGUAAUAUAUAGUGGAACUGUCUGUAACUAUUUUCAAAGCCUCAUGUAAAUGUGUUGUCAUACUUAAGUAAUUUCAAAAAAUUUUAAAAAGGAAAAUACAAUCUUUAUUGAAACUUUUCUACUUGUUAGGAGGACAUAUCCUAGUUUCCAACGUACUGGUCUACAAAGUUAUAAGCUUUUGUCUUAGAAGUGUAACGGGGUGACACAGCGACCUGGGAAGGCCGGCCGCCUCUGCGGCCAUGGCGGCUGGAGCCCCGCCACAGCCAUGCCUCUGGUCCGCGGAACCCGCCAGCUUUCUCUUCUCCACUGCGCCCAGUGCAUGUUUUCUUCGCAUCCAGAGGGGGAGCGCAAAGUGACCCAAAUCCUCAAAAUUUCCAGGAGGCUGUAGGGGAAUGUAUAAAGUUCAAAUUAAAUCGGAAGAAUUUAAGGAGAAGAGAACUGUCUAGCAGCCAACAGGCACUAAAUGAAGAAAUCAAGGAUAGGCACGGAUUGCACAUUUUUAAGUCUGUCGCCAAACACCGACCAUACCCUGGCUGCUUAGAUGUUGUUGCUAAAACACUGGAUGAAUCUUACUAACGGGGGCUUCCCUUGUGGCUCAGAUGGUAAAGAAUCCGCCUACAAUGCGGAAGACCUGGGUUAGACCCCUGACUUGGGAAGAUCCCACGCAGAAGCUAAAGACUACCCACUCCAGGAUUCUGGCCUGGAGAAUUCCAUGGACUGUAUAGACGAUGGGUUCGCAGUGUCGGAUACGACUGAGCGACUUUCACUACAACCACCGUUCUUUCCUCAACAUAUGACAAAAAGUUUAUUUUGUUCAUAGUCAUUUCCAUAUUGUAAUUAUAGAAGAAUAUGCUAUCUAUUUAGAUGUUAAAUGCAACUAAAAAACAGGCUGUAAUUUAUGGGGCAUCAGUUCAUUUCAGUUCAGUUCAGUCGUUCAGUCGUGUCCGAUUCUUUGCGACCCCAUGAAUCGCAGCACGCCAGGCCUCCCUGUCCAUCACCAACUCCCGGAGUUCACCCAGACUCACGUCCAUCGAGUCAGUGAUGCCAUCCAGCCAUCUCAUCGUCUUAAACACCUCCCUGCACCUUGCCCCGCCUUGCUCUCGCUGUAGACCGGGAUGCUCCUCGCCCCGCCCCUCACAUGCAGCGAUCCGCCCAACCCACGACCCGGAAGUUCCGCCUCGGAAUCCACGCCUGCGCAGUUUCCUGCGGAAGCGGAAGGCCACGAGAGAAGGUCGCUCUGGGGCACUUGAGUUUUUUUUCUCCUAGUGUAAACGGGUGCUGCGCGCUUAGCCGUCCAACCAGCCCUCGCCACGCCCAUCUUCUGCGUCCCGCUGGUUCUGCGAAAGUAAUAUCCCAAUACCCCGCCGUCCGCCCCAAAUAAACCCAGAGGCCGCGGUUACAGGUCCAGUAUUCGAGAUCGCUCUGAGGCUUGUCCUUGCCUUUUGCUUUUCGGCCUUCGGCUCCGGAGACACCGCCUUUCGGGAUAUUUUCCUGCUUAAAACUUAACCAUUAGUACCUACGCUUGUGCCUUGUAAAGUCCCCGGGCGCGAGGGGGAUUCGGGCACGCCCACCUCCACCGCCUCACCCUGUCGGCCCCUGGAGGUCGCGUCGACAGCCCCGCUCCCGGAGAAGCCGCGUCCUCUCCCCUGUCCUGCGAUUCUGGAGAGCCCGCCCGGCCGGAGACCCCCUUCACUCCCAGCCUCUCUGCCCUCGCCUCUCCUGAGGCCCAUCAUUCUGCCCCGCAGGCCUCCCUUCCUGAUACGUGGACGAGGGGGAUCAGAAGAAGCAGUGACUGAGAGUGAAAGGCAAAGUCAGAAGUGGAAAACAAUGAGAGAACCGACGGGGUCGCCCAGGAUGGCUGAGGCAAUUGCAAAGGGAUGCUAAAAUGAAAUAGAGUUAGCCCUUAAAGUAGCGGGUGGGUGAAAGAAUAAUGGACAAAGGCGUGGGAUCUCCAGGAGUUGGAGACAAGGAGACAGGGGCCCUGCGUCUGCAGUAGGAGGGCUGACAGGGGUGAUCCUAGGAGAGAAACAAGGAAUAGGUUUUGACUAGAAGAGAAGAGAAGGAAGUAAGCCUAGACACCUGGAGUGCCCCAGAGUGGGAGUGUAACAGGGAGAGAAGGGGUGUGACAAGAAGGUAGAGAGGGAGCAGAGUUGGACAAAGAGACAGAUGUAUAGAUAUUUAGGACAAUUAGAAGGGUGGGCGUGGGGAGAAGAGCAGCAAGAGGAGAAACAAGUUGCAGAGUGGGGCAGGACAGGUGUGAGGGAAGAAAUAGGAGGGCAGAAACAGCAUCCCACCCGAGGCAGUGGACACCAAAGGACUGUUCCACACAGUGAGGUCUUCCUGUUUUUGUGGUUGUGGCAAACGAAGGGGGGGAUGUUGAUUCUAAGCCUUAAGCAGCCUGUUUUCCAAACUUGCAAGAUCAACUUCUAAAAACUUAUAUUGUCUGAGGAAGAAGCUGGGAAGAGGAGGAAAAAAGGAAAGAAAACAGGAAUGGCUCUUUCUCAGGUAAAAUCAUAUUCUCAGUUGAUUCUCAGUCUGUCCUUCCUGAAAUCCCUUCUUUGGACUUACUAGUCAUGUCUGACUCUGAAGUAUCCUUCCUGACACCCGUACAUGCACACUCACCAGGGAACUUCCCUCAGGGCCUGUCGUCUCCACUUGGAUCCCAUCUCCCCAUGACCCAGUGGCCUGGACCUUGUGUGGAGGGCACCAUCCUGGGCAGGGCUUCACACCCACAGGCUUGAGAAGGGGUCUCAGUGCUGUUGGGCAGCAGGGAUUGCCUCGGGUCCUUCUGGAUGUGCAGUCUGCUCUCUGUCAAUCAGGAUUAAGAAGCUGUGGGUGGAAGUCAGGUAUUAACAUGCACAGUACCUGGUAAAAUCUGGAAGUAGACCUAAAAAGAGAAAUUUGUUCUAAAGUAAUUGAAGUUAAGUGAGUGAGUCACUGACUUCAAAAUCUUGAUUGGAAAUGGGAUGGAAAGUUCAGAAUCAGGUAUCAGUGAUAGAGGGUGUACUAUUCCAUCAUCUGUUUGAAUCUGUGACAUGAAUCUAAAUCUCUGAGAGCUGGAAAUUCAUUUUCAUUGCCUUCAUUCUUCAGAUUUUGUCUUUUCACGGUGUUCAUUUUGUGGUUUGGCACAGAGAUGUUUUUACUUUUGAUGCAGGUGAAGUUUCCUCUUCAUUGUUUAACUCAGAGAUUCACCAUUUGUUAUGGCAACUGUCUUUUUUCCACUGGGUUUUCUUAGCAUCCUUGUCAUUAGAUUUUAAAUAUAUGCAAAUGGUUGUUUCUGAACAUUCUCUUCUGUUCCCUUGGUGUAUAAAUCCGUGUUUAUGCCAGUACUACACCAUCUGGAUAAUAUCGUGAUAUGGCUUGAAAUUUUAAAAAGGGUGGCCUUCUUCUUGCAUCUUUGUACUUAUGGAAGAGCAUUUUUGCAGUUUGUGGUCCCCUUGAGAUUCUUUAUGACUUCUGGCAAGUUUUUUCUAUUUCUGCAAACAUUUCUAUUGUAAGUUUCAUAAUGAAUUCAUUAAAUCUGUGAAACGCUCUGAGUAACUUGGAAAUAUAGAGUACUGAGAUUUCCAGUCUAUGACUACUAGAUUUAUUUGUUUAUUUUGGAUUUCUUUUAGAAAUGGUUAAGUAGUUUUCAGUGUAUAUGUUUCACCUCCUUGGUGAAUUAUUCCUAAAUAUUUCACCCAUUUUUAAUACAAUAGUAAAUGAAAUUGUUAUGUGAUUUUCUUUUAACAUUGUUCAUUGUGUAUAGAAAUGCACCUGAUUUGCACGUUGACUUUUGUAUCCUGCAAGUUUGCUAAAUCUGCUGUUUGAUGUGGCAGGGGGUUUUUUUGUGUCUGUGUGGAAUCUACAGUUUAUACAUAAAAGACCUUGUCUUCUAGGAAAGAAGGUAACUUUCUAAUUUUUCACGUUGGGAAGCUUUGAUUUCUUUUUCUUGUCUAAUUGCUCUGGUUAGGGGUUUCAGUCCUUUGUUGAACAGUGAUGCAGAGUGUGCAUCCUUGCCUUCUUCCCAAUCUCAGAGGAAAAGUUUUCAGUCUUUCACCAUUGAGAACAAUGUUAGGUGUGCUCUUUUCAUACAUCAUAUAUUUUAGUUUGAGAUACUUGUUUUGGAAACAAAACAAACCCCCCAAAUGGACGGGAAUGUAUCAAAAGUGAGAACAGAGAUGAGAUUUCAGGGCAGAGAGGAAAGCACAACAUUAAUAGUGGUUGGAAACCUCUUGUAAUGUACAUAGAGAUGAUAGCUUACGGUGAAUAAUGUCAGAUUCAUGAUCUCCGAAGAAGAAGGUAUAGCUUUGGGACCAGGGACCAGGCUUGAUCACUCAAGAGCUUUUGUGUAGCAGAGUUUUAUUCAAGUAUGAAAUGGGACAGAGAAAGCUUCUGACAU